UGAAUACGAGAUGCUACGGCGUCGAAGCAGUGUAUGUCAGACUUCCAAGAAAAGCUCGCAAUGUCAUAAAUAAAGAAUGCCUGUACCAUAACCGACACAGGUGGGUAGGUAGAGUAUACUAAGGGGCGCGAGAUAACUCUCUCUAAGGAACUCGGCAAAAUAACUCCGUAACUUCGGGAGAAGGAGUGCCUUCUUUAAGAAGGUUGCAAUAACAAGAUCCAAGCAACUGUUUAUCAAAAACACAGGUCUCCGCUAAGUCGUAAGACGAUGUAUGGGGGCUGACGCCUGCCCAGUGCCAGAAGGUUAAAGAAGCUGGUUAGCAAUAGCGAAGCUGGUGACUGAAGCCCUGGUGAACGGCGGCCGUAACUAUAACGGUCCUAAGGUAGCGAAAUUCCUUGUCGGGUAAGUUCCGACCCGCACGAAAGGCGUAAUGAUUUGGAUACUGUCUCGGAGAGGGACUCGGUGAAAUAGACUUGUCUGUGAAGAUGCGGACUACCUGCACCAGGACAGAAAGACCCUAUGAAGCUUUACUGUAACCUGAAAUUGAAAUUGGACUUUAUUUGCGCAGUAUAGGUGGGAGGCGUUGAAAGUAAUCUUGCGGGAUUAGUGGAGCCAUCAGUGAGAUACCACUCCUAUAAUGUUAGAUUUCUAACUUUGGAUCAUGAUCUGGUCAAAGAACAGUUUCAGGCGGGCAGUUUGACUGGGGCGGUCGCCUCCCAAAUGGUAACGGAGGCGUACAAAGGUUUCCUCUGAACGGGUAGAAAUCGUAUCUAGAGUGUAAAGGCAUAAGGAAGCUUGACUGUGAGACCUACAAGUCGAGCAGGGACGAAAGUCGGUCUUAGUGAUCUGACGGUGCUGAGUGGAAAGGCCGUCACUCAACGGAUAAAAGUUACUCUAGGAUAACAGGCUGAUCUCCCCCAAGAGUUCACAUCGACGGGGAGGUUUGGCACCUUGAUGUCGGCUCAUCGCAUCCUGGGGCGGUAGUACGUCCCAAGGGUUGGGCUGUUCGCCCAUGAAAGCGGUACGCGAGCUGGGUUCAGAACGUCGUGAGACAGUUCGGUCCAUAUCCGGUGUAGGCGUUAGAAUAUUGAGAGGAGCCUUCUCUAGUACGAGAGGACCGAGGAGGACAUACCUCUGGUGUACCAGUUAUCGUGCCAACGGUAAACGCUGGGUAGCUAUGUAUGGAGAGGAUAACCGCUGAAAGCAUCUAAGUGGGAAGCCCACCUCAAGAUGAGUAUUCUCAG
rnacentral:rRNA from 1 species